ACCCAUGACAGGCUGAUGAUGUCUGCACACAACUUGAAAGCUGGAGAAAGGGCCCAACGUGAACGCCUUUGGGACUUAGCUGUGUUUGAGAGGUUACAUGGAAAUCCUGGGAAAACAUCUCCAAGCCUUGCUGUCAAAAAGUUUUGCAGAAGCAUUGCCACUAAGCACAUGUAGGCGUCAGAUGUGCGGCCACUUCCAGUGUUGGAAGAGACUUUGAACUACCUAUUAAACCUGUUGGAUGCCACGGAACAUCCUUUUGAAGUGGUUCAUGAUUUCGUCUUUGAUAGGACAAGAUCAAUAAGACAAGAUCUUAGCAUGCAGAAUAUCGUUAAUGAUCAAACAAUUCAUAUGUAUGAAGAAAUGGUGAAAUUUCAUAUUAUAUCCCACCACAAGCUUCGCAGUUGUAGCAACAAGCCAAAUUUUUCUUCAGUUCAUUACCUCAAUAUGGAGCAGCUGAAAAAGUGUCUGAUAUCUCUAUAUGCUCUAUACGAAGAAAAUCGAAAUUCAAAUUCUAUUUACAAGAAUGAACCUGAGUUUUGCUCAUUUCACGUUCUUCUUCAUCUUGGCUCUAACAACCAACCAUUGGGAGAGUCACUCUCUUUGUGGUUGGGUCGUGUACCUUCUCUCAUUUUGAAGUCAAAGGAAAUGUGUUUUGCCCGAAGACUUUUAAGAUUAUUUCGGAUGGGCAAUUAUAAGCGUUUCCUUUGUACUACAGCAACUGAGGCAUCUUAUUUGCAGUACUACAUUAUUGAACCUUACAUCAAUGAGGUUCGAGCAUUGGCAUUGUCAUGUGUAAAUUAUUGUGGCUACAAACUUCAUCCAUAUCCAAUUGCACACUUGUCCAAACUCUUGAUGAUGAAGGAAUUAGAUGUGGAAUCAUUUUGCAAUGCUUGUGGUCUUGAGACCAGCACUGGUGAACGGGGAAAUAAGUUCUUAUCAACCAAGCAAACAAACUUCCAUUAUCCCAAGGAAGUCUUUCCAAGCUAUUGCCUUCUGGGUUUGGAACACUUUUAGAGAAACAUUCGAAACUCCAUGAAUCUAUGGUGCUGUGGUGGCCUACAUUCAUAUAACUGGGGACACUUUGGUUUGCACUACAAUGACCCCCAAACAUGGUUUGUAGAGACUUUAUCAAGAUCACUAGCUUCAAAAGACUAAGGAAAGAAAAAUGUUCUCAAUGAAAACUUGGAGUCGAAUUGCAGAUAAAGACCUAAAACUCCCACUCAAUGUGUUUUAGGAAUUGUUCUUUCAUGGGGAUAAGCUGUUUGGUUUGUACAUGUCUCCUUGGUUAUACUUAGAGAUUGGCGAAGUAUACGUCUCCUUUGUGAUCUGGUUUUAUCUGGGCAGAUGAAUGUUCAUGCCAGGUUCAUAUAUGUUUAUGAUAUAUAUCACCCUGGAAGGAUCUAGAUCAAGGGGAUGAGUUUGAAAAGCUUGAGUAGGUUUAAAAUGUUCCGAGAAUUGGUGAGCAUGAUAUAUAUCAACAUAUUGCAGAAGACAACAGAGCUUCUGAAAUAUGUCAGAUUCAAUAGUAGGACAUCUUAUCAGCUGUCACUUACUGUAAUUCUAUGCUCUCAAUAUUCAUUUGUUGAAGAAGAAGAAAAAAUUGCUUUCACACUAUUCAAUUA